rnacentral:rRNA from 1 species
CGCAAGACAACAGGGAUUGCCUUAGUAGCGGCGAGUGAAGCGGCAAAAGCUCAAAUUUGAAAUCUGGCUCUUUCAGAGUCCGAGUUGUAAUUUGAAGAAGGUAUCUUUGGGUCUGGCUCUUGUCUAUGUUUCUUGGAACAGAACGUCACAGAGGGUGAGAAUCCCGUGCGAUGAGAUGAUCCAGGCCUAUGUAAAGUUCCUUCGAAGAGUCGAGUUGUUUGGGAAUGCAGCUCUAAGUGGGUGGUAAAUUCCAUCUAAAGCUAAAUAUUGGCGAGAGACCGAUAGCGAACAAGUACAGUGAUGGAAAGAUGAAAAGAACUUUGAAAAGAGAGUGAAAAAGUACGUGAAAUUGUUGAAAGGGAAGGGCUUGAGAUCAGACUUGGUAUUUUGUAUGUUACUUCUUCGGGGGUGGCCUCUACAGUUUAUCGGGCCAGCAUCAGUUUGGGCGGUAGGAGAAUUGCGUUGGAAUGUGGCACGGCUUCGGUUGUGUGUUAUAGCCUUCGUCGAUACUGCCAGCCUAGACUGAGGACUGCGGUUUAUACCUAGGAUGUUGGCAUAAUGAUCUUAAGUC